GACGGAGGAUGCAAGCGUUAUCCGGAAUGAUUGGGCGUAAAGCGUCCGCAGGUGGCAGUUCAAGUCUGCUGUCAAAGACCGGGGCUUAACUUCGGAAAGGCAGUGGAAACUGAACAGCUAGAGUAUGGUAGGGGCAGAGGGAAUUCCUGGUGUAGCGGUGAAAUGCGUAGAGAUCAGAAAGAACAUCGGUGGCGAAGGCGCUCUGCUGGACCAUAACUGACACUCAGGGACGAAAGCUAGGGGAGCGAAUGGG
rnacentral:rRNA from 1 species